rnacentral:rRNA from 1 species
UACAGAGGUCCCAAGCGUUGUUCGGAUUCAUUGGGCGUAAAGAGCGUGUAGGCGGCCAGGUAGGUCCGUUGUGAAAACUCGAGGCUCAACCUCGAGACGUCGGCGGAAACCCUCUGGCUAGAGUCCGGAAGAGGAGAGUGGAAUUCCUGGUGUAGCGGUGAAAUGCGCAGAUAUCAGGAAGAACACCCGUGGCGAAGGCGGCUCGCUGGGCCAUUCCUGACGCUGAGACGCGAAAGCUAGGGGAGCGAACAGG